rnacentral:rRNA from 1 species
GACGAACGCUGGCGGCGUGCUUAACACAUGCAAGUCGAACGGUAAGGCCCUUCGGGGUACACGAGUGGCGAACGGGUGAGUAACACGUGGGUGAUCUGCCCUGCACUUCGGGAUAAGCCUGGGAAACUGGGUCUAAUACCGGAUAGGACCACUGCCUGCAUGGGUGGUGGGGGAAAGCUUGUGCGGUGUGGGAUGGGCCCGCGGCCUAUCAGCUUGUUGGUGGGGGGAUGGCCUACCAAGGCGACGACGGGUAGCCGGCCUGAGAGGGUGACCGGCCACACUGGGACUGAGAUACGGCCCAGACUCCUACGGGAGGCAGCAGUGGGGAAUAUUGCACAAUGGGCGCAAGCCUGAUGCAGCGACGCCGCGUGAGGGAUGACGGCCUUCGGGUUGUAAACCUCUUUCAGCACCGACGAAGCGCAAGUGACGGUAGGUGCAGAAGAAGGACCGGCCAACUACGUGCCAGCCGCCGCAGUAA